GCGGGAGAGAGAGGGGAGGGAGGAGGGGUCUUUCUUCCCCUCCAGUUAUUUCUUUCUGCUCAGGACCUCUGUUCAGCCCCCCAGUUCACACAGCCCGGGGAGAGGGAUGUGGGAUGGACGGAGCUUUCAGACAAAGCCCGUCAGACAGGCUGACAAGAUGCACCGGGCAGCCCAAGCAGGGUCCCCAAGUGCUGUUGAGGGGUGAAUAAGCGAGAAGAGAGCGAAACGGAAUCCACAAAGGUGCCCAUGGAGAAAGGAGAGAUGCACAGAUACAAAAAGAGAUGGUGCCCAGUCCCCAAUGUCCCCGUCCCCGCGGCCCCUUUCUCUGCGUCUGGGAGGUGGGAUUGCAGGGAUUUUAUCUUACAUUCCUCUGCACGUGCAUCUGGGCCUUCUCGGCCUGCUCUGCAGCCAACGUGUCCUCCAUGGGAAGCUGCAGGAAAACAAUAAGUGUCAUUUCUAAGAGAACGAAAUUGUCCACGCAGGGAACAAAGCCCAGCCGGCUGCAGAGGAGCCCCCGACACACUCACUCCGCCACGCAGCUCCUUUCUUUAGGCUCCAGCAUGAGCAGGGACAGGGGAUUCCAGAAAUCUCCAAGGGAGAAAAGGAGAGAGAAGAGGAGAGAGGAUAAGCGGACCGAGGGCUAGAGACCCACCGACGCUCCCCCCGCAGGGCCGCAGGGCCGGGCCUGGCGUCAGCAAGGACACCGCUGGGCUCCCCACCCGGCGGCGGCGGCGGCGGCACUUUUCUUAUUACAGAGAGUCUCCCCACUUCCUGACUGAGCUGCCAUGUGCUGAGCUGCUUUCCACCUCCACGUCCUUCCUCCAUGAUGUUCUGCUGCACCCGGGGCCCAGAGCAAGGGGGACAGCCGUCUAUAAAUCGAGACCUCUGAAACUGUGAGCACCCCCGAGCUUCUCCUCCUCUAAAAGUGUUCUAGUCAGGUCUUUUGGUCACAGUGUCAAAAAAGCUGACGAAAACAGA